CUGGCGCUGCCCGCCCUUUUCCUGACAGACUCCGCCCUCUGCCGUGCGCCGGCGGCGGGCGGUGCUGAGGCGAAGGGCUGGGAGCCGCCAUGCGCUUCCGUGCUAAGAUCGUGGACCUCGCCUGCCUCAACCACUUCAGCCGUGUAAUUAACACAAUCGCCAAGUUAGCCAAGACCUGCACCCUGCGCCUGACUGUCAGCAAGCUGUAUUUCAUCCUCGCUGAUAAAGUAGCCAAUGGAGGUGUGGGUAUGUGGUGUGAGCUGAACCAGGGGAAUUUCUUCGAUGAAUUUCAGAUGGAAGGAGUGGCUGCAGAGCACAAUGAGAUCUAUUUAGAGCUGAUGCCUGAGAACCUGUCGAGAGCAUUGAAAACUGCCCACAAUGCUAAGGCAGUGAAGAUGAAGUUGACUAACAAACACUGUCCCUGUCUCAGAGUCGCUGUGGAGCUGCCAUCCUUAGCAAGCACCAGUAGGAUUGUGACACAUGACAUUCCUGUGGGGGUUAUUCCCAGAAGAUUAUGGAAUGACUUCAAAGAGCCCAGUGUGCCAGACUUUGAUGUCAGUAUUUACCUACCAGCGCUGAAAACAAUGAAGAGUGUUGUGGAGAGAAUGAGGAAUCUCAGCAAUAAUGUUAUGAUUGAAGCAAACUUGAGCGGAGAAAUGAACUUGAAAGUAGAAACUGACUUAGUUUGUGUAACAACACAUUUUAAAGACUUGGGAAAUCCUUCCUGGGCAUUAGAGGAUGGAUGUCAGAGUUCUCAAGACAGAGAUCCAGAAAGCAUGGCUGAGGCUUGCAUAGACAUCAGGAAGCUGCAGCAGCUGCUUGCUGGACAGCAGGUCAACCCCACAAAAGCACUGUGCAAUAUUGUAAGUAAAAGAAUUGUCCACUUCAUCUUGCUUCAUGAGGAUGUUUCGCUUCAGUAUUUCAUUCCAGCACUUACUUGAAUACUUUGGAAUCUCAGUAAUUUUCCAACCUGAGGCCUUUUCCUUCAAGUCUGAAAACUUUCAUGAGUUGCUGGAGUAUUCUCAUGUGAUAUGCUGUUAGAUACAGACAUUAUAUGGACAUUAUUUUCGUAUUUAUGAAAUUAUUCGCAACAUCUCCUCAUCCAGAAGGCCAUUUCUGUGAAGAGUUACUUGCUAUGAAAGAUACAGCAUUGGGAAACUGGCAUAUCUGAGCGUUAUGGGCAGCAAAACUGAAAGUUGCAUGUGCUUCUGGGAUGCUUUGAGAUGCAGGGAAGAUCUUCCAAGCUUAUCUUGACAUGAUGAAGAACCCUGCUUCAUCUCAUAGCCCCUGAAUCUAGCAUAUGUCAAACCAGGGAUGUCUUCAGAGCAGGCAGUACUGAGACCUUCAUUACUGUGUUGACAAAAGGUUUUCUCAAUAACCUGAUGGUAUUGGGGUGUAAGUUUCCAGGUUGUAGGUCAGGAGGCAGUGACAUUGCUGGGGAAGAAGCUUAUUUAAGUCUAGAGGACUAGGGCAGAGGUCUUUUGAGGUACAUGGCAAUUACUGUAUUUCUGUAGGUGAGGGACCAAGAAUGGAAGAUCUCAUCUGAGAGGAAUGAAGAAUAGGAAAGCUGCAGCAGAACUGUCUCUGCUUCUCUCUUCUCUCUGCAUUGAUAAAUUGAAAUGAGGAAUGGGCAAAGUUACUCCAUCAGGGCAGCAAGAGAGUUUCCCAUUUUCUUCAUGUCUGGUCAACAUGUCAAAGCCUAAAACCCUCACUCCUGCCUGCCUUGACAGAAGACCAGAUGCCACAUUACAUUUAGCUGGUGUG